GAUGAACGCUGGCGGCGUGCCUAAUACAUGCAAGUCGAGCGCGCAGCGAAAGGUGCUUGCACCUUUCAAGCGAGUGGCGAACGGGUGAGUAACACGUGGAUAACCUGCCUCAAGGCUGGGGAUAACAUUUGGAAACAGAUGCUAAUACCGAAUAAAACUUAGUAUCGCAUGAUACAAAGUUAAAAGGCGCUACGGCGUCACCUAGAGAUGGAUCCGCGGUGCAUUAGUUAGUUGGUGGGGUAAAGGCUUACCAAGACGAUGAUGCAUAGCCGAGUUGAGAGACUGAUCGGCCACAUUGGGACUGAGACACGGCCCAAGCUCCUACGGGAGGCUGCAGUAGGGAAUCUUCCACAAUGGGCGCAAGCCUGAUGGAGCAACGCCGCGUGUGUGAUGAAGGCUUUCGGGUCGUAAAGCACUGUUGUAUGGGAAGAAAUGCUAAAAUAGGGAAUGAUUUUAGUUUGACGGUACCAUACCAGAAAGGGACGGCUAAAUACGUACCAGCCGCCGCGGUAA
rnacentral:rRNA from 1 species